UGCUGGUCAGAGUGCAGUGGUGUUUACAACUAAUUAAUCACAACCAGUUACAGAUUUAUUUGUUCUUUCUCCACUCCCACUGCUUCAUUUGGCAGGCAAAAA
rnacentral:Y_RNA from 1 species